GAACGAGAAAGCCCGCAAGGGUGAGUACAGUGGCGACCGGGUGAGUAACACGUGGACAACCUGCCACCGAGUGGGGAAUAACCCUGGGAAACCGGGGCUAAUACCGCAUAACACUUUUGAACUUCGGUUUGGGAGUUGAAACCCGCAAGGGGCUUGGUGAGGGGUCCGCGGCCGAUUAGCUAGUUGGUGAGGUAACGGCCCACCAAGGCUAUGAUCGGUAGCCGGCCUGAGAGGGCGCACGGCCACACUGGAACUGAAACACGGUCCAGACUCCUACGGGAGGCAGCAGUGGGGAAUUUUGCGCAAUGGGGGAAACCCUGACGCAGCAACGCCGCGUGGAGGAUGAAGUCCCUAGGGUUGUAAAGCCCUUUCGGCGGGGACGAUAAUGACGGUACCCGCAGAAGAAGCUCCGGCUAACUUCGUG
rnacentral:rRNA from 1 species